ACAAAAAAAAAACGAAAUUAAGGAGGAAAUAAAAAUUGUACCAGGAAGCCCAUAUUCUCGAUUGCCGCUGUCGCCUUGUCCAAGUAAUUCAGAUUCCAGUGGAUCAGAAUGGCUACAUGAAGCAUUAAUUUCUACAUCUGCAAAUCUAAAGGGCUUACCGAAUCUCGAGAAGAACCAGCGAGGGAUUAUCGAUGUGGGAGGAAUGAGGACGAAAAGCUGAGUAACGUCAGGGUUCCAGCGGGGCCCUAGCUGCUCGCGCUGUCGCUUACCGCAUCAAUCACCUCGCGACUAGGACCACCUCUACGCAUGAUAUCACCCGAGCUACAUGAAUUGGUCAACGCCUACCGAGUAACUAGCAGGGAGCUAUUACUUAUCCUGCGUGACAGAGACCUACGAACUACAGAGCAAUGGUUGAGUGUUUGAUUUCCGAAAUACGUUGUAUUGAGUUCAAGUUAGGAACGUGUUGCCGAGAUACAAGAAGAGGUCGUUGAGGCUGUAUUUUGGAUGUGUCGCGAUUGUAGCCUACGACAGUGCCUCCGUUCGGCCGAGAAGCCGCCUGACCAUCCUCGUCCGUCAGGCCCACAGGAUCACCGCUCAUCUCCGCUCGGCUGAUUUCGCCGCUGUGCGUCGAAGCUCGGGAAAGCUCGGCCACCUCCGUCAACGUUCGUUUCGUUCCGGCGCCGUUUUUGCCUCAUCUGGGCACGCUUGCCCACGAUCGUCGAUCGAUAAAUCAUUGUCAUACAAAGCUUUGUAUCCGCCGAACGUGCCAAAAUUGUGAGAGAGAGAGAGAGGGAGAGAGAGGAAAAGAGAUAGAGAGAUCGACCGCUUUUGUUGCCGCCUUUUCCUGCUUUCUACCUUUCUAUUGAGCUAUUGCUUUAUUUUCUUUGGCAAAAUCUUUCGUUUUUCUUAAUAUUCUCUGCUUUUCUGAUUGAAGAUUAUAGGACACGUGCACGGCUAAACCGUCCGUUUAGCCAGUGGCUAGUUUCCUUUGCCGUUAUCAGGCGAAUGUCCUUCCGCCUAAUCUAGUAUAAAAGAAGGAUAGUGCCGUUAAAGUUUUAUAUUUUUGAGUUUCCGGUUUUGCGCUUUUCUCAUAUGAUUUGUGAUUUCCAUUUUUCUGUAAUUAACGAAUUUUUUGUGGAAUCUUCGUCUAGUGUACGCGGUCGAAUCUGCCUGCCAGAGCAUUUGUCCCUGGGUUGACCGGCUUUAUUGUUCAACAGCCAAAUUAUCUUGCUGUCUAUUUAUAUUUUGCCGAUUAUUAUAAGAUAUCGUUUACUGAAAAAUUACUAUCUUUUCAAGACUGUAUAUUACCUUGAGAUUUCCAAACCUGUUAGUUCAGUUGAAUUUCGUCGCGAGCUCACACCUAUUAUUAGUCCGAAUAUGUGGAAACUUUACUGUUCUUUAUCUAUCUUUUCUUUUGAACUGUUAUAAGCUGAUUAAAAUUCUCUUUUUUGUGC